CGAGAGUUUCAGAUUUGAAUUUCGCUCCUGCUACCAUUAAGGGACCAUUAACCAAUCAGAUGGUUUGAUAUAUCCGAUUAACCAAUCAAAUGCGUACUAAUUAAGCUAGUGAGAGGCAGGGAUGCCGGAAGUUGCUGAGGGCAAGGAGUGCAAUUGGUUAAUAAGAGGGCAUACUCCUUAACAAAAGGGCACCAAUGAAAAUGAAAGGGCGUCAAGAUCCUACAUUCGUGUCGACCUCCCUCCCCGCCACCAAAUUUUUUCGGACCGAAUACAAUUAUUUAGCCACAAUUCCUCCGUAAUUUCUUGCCAAAAAUUCCAUAAGUAAUACUUUCCGUUUCACCUUUCGCCAAAUGGAUAACAACUUUGCCGAAUUCCUGACGACUGGGGGGUGGAACACCCCCACACACUUCCUGUCUGUUGUAAAAGUUUUGUGCACACGUUACACCCAUAGUCUGCACCAACACUGCACCCACACAGUUGAAAAUGCAAUAGGCAAGGGGUGCACUUGCACCCGCUGCACCCGUGGUUCCGGCAUCCCUGGUGAGAGGUAGUGGUAUAGCCGUAAUGGAAGUCAAAUCUGAACCUCUCUAAUAUAAAGCUGUCCUGUUUCUGCUCCAGGUCGUUGGAGUAAUCUCGCCCACAUUGCGGGAAAAUGGUCGACAGCUGCAUUAUCAUUCAUGAUGAUUGAUGACAUUGUUUCACUCAGCUCAAGUCGGUUGUAUAUUUAAAGUUUUCCGUUCUGUUGCUUCGUUUUCGAGAUAUUUCAUUUAGUUUGAUAUACGUGUCAACUGGAUCCUACGUCACAAAGUGCAUAAUGAUUUGCUGAAAAUGUUAUUUAUUCUUGUUAUUAUACACUGUACGAAAUGAAAUUACUAGAGAAUCCAGGUAUUUAAUGUUGUAGAACGACACAAAUGCACACUAUACUUCAAUAAAGUAAUUUUGUUUGAUAAUAGCAAGGAUAUACUGUACAACUUCUGAUAGCUCAUUAUGCAUAUUUGUGACGUAGAAACCAUGACACGUAAUCAAACUAUACCGAAAUAUCUCGAAAACGAAGCAACGAAACGAAAAACUGCAUAAGAAGUUACGCUAUAGUUUUUAUAGUUCUUUUAAAUAAGACAAUAAAAAUGUUCGUUUUACAUGCACUUUAAAUAAGAUAUAUAGUUAUUUUAAUCUACCCAGAUUUCGCCACGGCAGUAGUCACAUGGUAUGACGUUUUCACUUUUCACAUCUUAUUCAAAUAAGAAAAUGUGAAGGCUCUUGUAGUUCUUCUUCCUAAGUAUAGGAACAAGACAAAAAUUCAGAUUGGAAAAUAAUGAACAAUCAUAUACGUAUUAAAGAGUUAAAAACACGAUCUGACCUAGAAACUAAAUAACUGAUGCAGGGGCGGCACUAAACCUAUAGUUGAAUGGGAGGGGUGUAAGAGAAUUUUGCCGAGUCAUUAUUCAGUGAAAUUGUAUACCGACUCAUUUCAAACGCUAAUUAAUAUUUCUUUUCCCAAAGAUGUUGGCGAGCGGGGGUAGGGGGUAAAAAAAUUUUUCCGGACAUUAUGUUUCUCAUGUUAACGUACCUUUAAUGUUUACUUUUUUCCUUCAUAAAUUUUCGCAAUUUUCUCCGAAUUUUACGUAUAAUUAUUAAUUUUUAAUCUGUUUCACUCCAUUUCUCUCCCAAUCAAAUUCAUGUUUUGCUGACUACGAAAACAAUUUGCCAACUGGGAUUCACUGUUGUACCGCCCCCCCCUCUCAGCCCUUUAGCGCCGCCGUUGAACUGAUGUGGUCUCGAUAUCCUGGAUCCUGCAUAUAUGAGCCCAACACUAUAGUUUAGCAACAAAAUUUAUAGUCCUAUACUUUAAGAAAAACCUUCAUUUUUCAUGCAUGCUUUAUGUGGAUCUUGUGGCAUGCUAUGAAGUCGCUAAUAAUUCGUAAAUUAAAGAAAGUUCAAAAGAAGUUAAUUUUUCUUCAACGCUUCUUUAACAUAAACUUUUUGUUUGACUUUCUCAGCCAAAGCGGCUUAUCUUUAGCUACACACGUAAAAACUCAGUAGUUGUAACAAACCUGCAGCAGACUUGUAUAUGUUCGCACUGCUUGUUGACAAGUUAAUGACUUGUUGACAACUUACUACAAGGUUGUUGAGCUGAACAGACGUGUUACAAGUUGUUCCAACAACUUGUUAUCAU